rnacentral:rRNA from 1 species
UAUAGAAUUUUAUAUUAACUUUACCUAGCGGUUAAUGCUGGUUUUUUGUUAAUAUUUGGUUGGGAGGAUUAUUAAAUUUAACAAACUUUAUAUCAUUAUAAACUUUGAUUUAAGAAAAUAUAAUGACCUUCAAUUUGAAAUAGUUAGAGUAAAUUACCUUAGGGAUAACAGCGUAAUAUUUUUUUAUAGACCUUAUAGAAAAAAAUGGUUGCGACCUCGAUGUUGAAUUAAGAUAAAUUUUAAAUGCAGGAGUUUAAUAAUUAAGUCUGUUC